GCCCGGGUGGCGGAAUGGCAGACGCGGUGGAUUCAAAAUCCACUAUCCUCACGGGUGUGUGGGUUCGACUCCCUCCCCGGGCA
rnacentral:tRNA from 1 species